rnacentral:rRNA from 1 species
GAUGAACGCUGGCGGCGUGCCUAAUACAUGCAAGUCGAGCGAACGGACGAGAAGCUUGCUUCUCUGAUGUUAGCGGCGGACGGGUGAGUAACACGUGGAUAACCUACCUAUAAGACUGGGAUAACUUCGGGAAACCGGAGCUAAUACCGGAUGAUAUUUUGAACCGCAUGGUUCAAAAGUGAAAGACGGUCUUGCUGUCACUUAUAGAUGGAUCCGCGCUGCAUUAGCUAGUUGGUAAGGUAACGGCUUACCAAGGCAACGAUGCAUAGCCGACCUGAGAGGGUGAUCGGCCACACUGGAACUGAGACACGGUCCAGACUCCUACGGGAGGCAGCAGUAGGGAAUCUUCCGCAAUGGGCGAAAGCCUGACGGAGCAACGCCGCGUGAGGGAUGAAGGUCUUCGGAUCGUAAAACUCUUUUAUUAGGGAAGAACAUAUGUGUAAGUAACUGUGCACAUCUUGACGGUACCUAAUCAGAAAGCCACGGCUAACUACGUG